GUUUUAUUCAGAAUGAAGUUAAUGGAAGCUGGUAGGUCAUAUUUUGCCAUCUCAUCAUAACUGAAAGCCCAGAAUUCAUCCUGAGAAACUGAGAGUGUCUUAUGUUUCCGAGACCAGGUAUUUCCUCUGCUGUUGCCCAUCCACACGUCAAAACCAGCAUCAGCAAGAAUGAAGCCCAGGCUGCUGUUGGCAAGGUUUGUGACCCAGUUACUAGAAUCUGCCAGCAAGCCAUGUUGCAGGAAGACAACUGGUUUGGGACCUUUGUCAGAAUGGUUCUUCCUCCCAUGAGGAAUUCGGUUAAGGCACAGAAUAUAUCCAUCUUCUGUCUCAACUAGGUAUUCCUCACUAGGGAAUCCCCAGUAAGAGAUAAUUUCACUCACAUUCAUGUUUGUUUCAGGAUCCACAGCUGUCAGUUUCCCUCCAGACCCCUCAGAAUGCAGGGUCCAGAGAACCAAACAGACCACCAACCCCAAGAACCGCAUUUUCAUUCUGGAGCUGUCCUGCCGGGCCGCUGUCUCGAGUCGCAGUGCCAGCUC
rnacentral:lncRNA from 1 species